UGUGUCUUUUGAGGUUGCUCUUUAUUCCAAAUCCUUUUCCACACUCAGAACAGACAAAUGGUUUUUGCCUUGUAUGAGUUAUCAUGUGUGUGUUAAGAUUGACCCUUUGUCCAAAUGUUUGACCACACUCGGAACAGACAAAUGGAUUUUGUCCUGUAUGAAUUAUCAUGUGUGUGUUGAGGUGGCUCUUUUGCCCAAAUCUUUGACCACACUCUGAACAGACAAAUGCUUUUUGCCCUGUGUGAAUUAUCAUGUGUCUGAUCAGGUGGCCCUUUUGCCCAAAUCGUAGACCACACUCAGAACAGACAAAUGCUUUUUGCCCUGUAUGAAUUAUCAUGUGUGUGUUCAGAGUGCACUUUUGUCCAAAUCUAUGACCACACUCAGAACAGACAAAUGGUUUUUGUCCUGU